UUCUUCAAGGGCGUAAAUGCAUCGCGGGCACUGAUCAAGGAUCAACACAGUCUUGUGGCGCAAAAAGAUCUUAUGGGAUUCAGCUCAUGGAACGAAGUGUUGUCGUCAGCAGGUGCAACGUAUGCCUCUAAUCCGUGGGCCACGCCUGUGCCUGCCGUCAUUGAAAAUGUAACACCAUUACUCGUUCAAGGUCAGCGCAUAUUGAGAGAUGAGCAGGGAGAAGCGGUGAGGAUCAGUAAUCGCUUUGAAGACAUCUGGAAGCUG
rnacentral:misc_RNA from 1 species